CAGACAGGGGCCCAACUCCACAGAAUAGUGAAUUCAAACCCUACUAAAAAGGGAUGAAGUGUGGUGUUAGGAAGGUGCCAGGGGAAGAGACUGUUCAUGCUAACCUGUCUUGGGAUCCAGCCAGGGCCAACUGGCUGGUUGCUUGCUGCUGGAGAGGGCAAGUGGGGAGCACCAAGACCUAGAGCUCAAACCAUCCGUUGGCAUAGGCUAGGAGCCGGCAGGGAAAUAAUAAGGGCAGGCUUAUACAGGGGAGGUUCUGUCCAGCAGGCCAAUUCUGGUAACUGAAGGCCAGAGGCUUCAGAUGCAAUUGAUGAUAGAAAUUUAAGAUGAAGAAUGGGGGUGUCUCGAUAAGUAAGGAUCACCCAACAGGGAGGAAUCUGGAGUGAAUGUUAUCCAAAUUUAAAGAAGUGGAUCAACCUCCGGGAAGAUUACCAACAGGUAGUAACACUUUUGGGCUAAGAUUUGUGGGCAGGGCUCCAGUCCUUGGGAGAAGGUCUAACAAAAGCAAAGCAGGAUGCCAGCCUUGGAGGGGCAGAUGCACUAAUCAUUUUACCUAAGUGGCCACUCAUAACAGCAGUCAAGGCCGAAGUUCAACUGUGGAGAUGCCGGGGACCACCAUGAACUGAUGAUGGAAGAGAAAAUGAGAGACCACUUCUCAGAUCCUGAACACCAUGUAUGCCCUACAAACUAUCCUGCAGUCUGAAUUGACUGCAAGGAGACAUUCUGAACUCUUCAAUAGUGAUAACAGCUGGGCCAAGGUCACUGCUUUAGGUUAGGAACUGGUAGCAAGGCUGAGCCUGCAGAUAAACUAAGAGAUCCCCUUGGGGAGAGAAAGGGAAAGAGGCUGGUGGCCAGCAUGGCCCUGGCACAUGGUAGCCAUGUCUUCUGCCUCAACUCCUGUUCCCAAAUUUCCAGAACCGUGGAGCUGGCCAUCGUUCCUAAAGGCAGAGACAGCAGGUCAUAAUGGUAACAGCACAUGUUCUGGAAUUAGGCUGGCUUUGACUCCUAACUAGGGUUGCCACAUUUAGCAAAUAAAAGUACAGGACACCCAGUUAAAUGUAAAUUUCAGAUAAACAAUGAAUAAUUUUUUUUUCUCUAACUAUGUCCCCAAAAUUACAUGGGACACACUUAUGCUAAAAAAAUUAUUUUUUAAAUGUGAAUAUUUAAAAUAUUAAAUUUGAUUAUUUGAAACAUACUAACAUAUUAUUCAUUGCUUGUAUAAAACUAAAAUUUAAUUGAGUAUCCUAUAUUUUUUUUCUAGUAAGUAUAUGCUGCUAACUUGUUUACUUUCUAACUUGGAAAUUGGGAAGGUUAUUUGAUACCUCUAUUUCCUCAUCUGUAGAAUGGAACUGAUCUAGCUUACAGUGUUGUUGUGACGACGGAUUGAGUUAAUACAUGCAGACUCCUCAGAAUUAUGUCUGGCACGGAUAAAAGAACAGCUAAGAUAAACCCAAAGCCGAUUGUCAGAAGAAAAAAAGAAAACCAUUGAGAAUUUAAGAAAGAGGGAAA
ensembl:lncRNA novel transcript